ACUGACCGCAAGUACCUCGUCAUUGGUGA
rnacentral:piRNA from 1 species